CCAUGAGGAGGAGUCCCAUAAUAGGACGAAACGGCCGUCCAGUGC
rnacentral:hammerhead_ribozyme from 1 species